rnacentral:tRNA from 1 species
GGGGGUGUAGCUUAGUCCGGUUUAAAGCAGUCGCCUGUCGAGCGAAAGAACGUGAGUUCAAAUCUCAUCAUCCCCG